GUCUACGGCCAUACCACCCUGACCGUGCCCGAUCUCGUCUGAUCUCGGAAGCUAAGCAGGGUCGGGCCUGGUUAGUACUUGGAUGGGAGAAAAAAUCCUAUCAUGUGUCCCCUAUGAUCUUUGUACUAUUGGCU
rnacentral:rRNA from 1 species